CUUGAACUUAAUUAAAGAUGGUACUUACACCUCACUUUCUUAUAAAAUUAAAACAAUUAAUUAGGCUUUUGAGAGAGUUUUUCUGGUGCAGAUGAUGCCACAAGGCUAGAAUAAAUCAAACAUAGUCAUAGACCCGGUAAAAUCGGCUCAAACUCGCGGGUCGGGUCAGCCCAUCCGUUAAAAGUUGGGUUAUAAAUUUUAUUUUUUUUGUCAACGAAAAUCUUGGCCUUUUUAGCCCGGCCCAAUUUUAACCCGACUUUAUGAUAAUCCGCCCGUGAACGCCUGGCCCGCCCGGUCCUUUAAAAAAAACCCAUCUGUUAAGUGUAAUCUGAUCUCUAAUCUCCUUAAUCUUUACUCCUUACCUUAAUCGCUAACUCACUAAGGCUGUAACAGAGAGAGAAGUCGAGAACCUUCGACGGUUCGGCGUCGGGUCCUUCACACUUCAGUCUUCACAGCCUCACCUCUACAGCUCUACUCUUCCACAAAUCCUCGAUCCACAGUUCCACACUUCGAUUCGAUCGAUCGACGCGACGAGACGAGACGACGCAUAAGCUUGCCUUCACGGCUUCACAGUUCGUCCUCUCCCCUAAAAAGCUAAAACCCUACUCUAUUCUCCUCGUCUCAGACUCUCAGGUAUUUUUCCACUUCGUUUCGUUUCAAUAAGAUUUUAAUUUAUUGUUUAUAAUCAUUUUGAUUUUUGAGCGAUUUUUGUUUGAACUUUGAAUAAUUGAAUUGGUAAUUUUACUAAUUUAUCUGUAAUAGUAUGAUUGUAUGUCUUUGUGGUUGACUGAUUUGGACCAAAAAUUAUUGGGUAUUUCCGAUUUCGUAUUUGGGUGUGAAAUUUGAGGAGUGGUUACUGGUUUAUAUAUAUAUGUAUGAGUAUGACUGGGUAUUUCCUGGUUGCUUCUGUUGGAUCGAUGAGCAGUUAUCCGGACCAGGAAUAGAUCGAUCAAUUUCUUUUAAGGCCUAAAUGUGGACUGCUAUUUUGCUGGAGCAGGCUAGGCAAAUGAAUUGUCAUUUUCAAAUGGAGCACUGCUUAUAAGUUAUAAGGCAGUGGUGUUUGUCCAAUUGUCCCUCAUAAGCACUUGGGUGAAUUGAUGAUUUGGGUUUGAUAUCAAAUUAUUUUAAUGAAGCCCUAGUAAAUAGUAAUUAAUGCAUGGUAAAGUGCAGUUAGCCAUGGAAAAAAAAAUAUUAAUUUGCACCUCAAUGGAAAUUUAUGUGUGUAUAUAUUACUGUAUAUAUAUCCCCAAAACCCAGAGUUAAUUUCUCUCUCGUCUCAAUCAAAAGUACCUAGUAUUAUUGAGUAUGUGUUAAUUGUUUAAAAUUUUUGUUUGUUUGUAGAGUUCUUAUGGAUCGACGGGAUCGUGUAACAAUUGAUUUGAUUGAUGGGGGAGUUGAAAGUUCGGACAAUUUGACACAACCAAUUGACAGUUCGAAGAGAAAACAAAGGGAAGAAAGUUCAAUUUGGAAUCAAUAUGAAAAAAAGGUAGAUUCUUCAACCAAAAAGUUAAGAGCAUAUUGUAAAAGACGGACGACCAACUUUUGGUACCACUAGUUGCAAAUCAAGAGUCAAAGGUAUCUAACAUAGGCAAAAUUACAAGGAGUGACUAGACAUUACUCACUAGUAAGUUCUAUUUGUAAGACCCCAACUUUUAUGAAUAAAGAUGAAUUUUCUAUAAAUAUCAUUUUUGAAUAUUAUGGAAUGAAUUUGAUUUAAUGUUAUAGUUGUGGGUAAUAUUUAUAAAUUUUGUAAAGUACGCAAGUUGUUAUAUAAUAUUCGAUUGGUCGGGGAAUAUUCGUUUUAACAGGGAAUAUUCGUACAAUGGCACAAUCAUUGGUGGACCCCACAACGGAAUUAUUGUCGGAUUGAGAAAACGACAAAAAUACUUUAUGAAAAUAACGGCGGAAGUUUUACUGUUAACUGUUGAAACACCCGGUGUUAAAAAUACAGUAAUACGCGUAGUUGCACAGUAGCACACGAUAUUGAUUAUUGAUGCUUACGUAAGAAGUCACUCAGUUUUGUUCAAUUAUUGUUACAGUAAUUGCUGCAUAGUAUCUCACGUUAUUUGAUUCAAUUAUUGUCAAUAUUUUAUAAUCAAUAAUUAAGAUGACAAAGUAAUUAAUAUUAUUAUUUGCAAUAUUAAUGAUGUCUAGAAGUUCUGUCAAUAUUUUCAAUUGUUGUAUAAUUAAGUUGUAUUUGAAUUUUGUACCAUGUAUUUGGCGACUCAGAAUAUGUGAUGUAUACCGAUUUUGGGGGCGUCACACUAUUGCUUUGUAGAAUUUAUGGAUUUGUGGAUAUGGACUAUUGCUUUGUAGAAUUUUUCAAGUACUAUUGCUUUAGUGUAAUGGCUAAUUUUGUAGAAUUUAUGAGUAUUGUGUUAUAAUGUCUAUAUGAAGAAUGUUAUAGCCUUUGUUGAAAUGAAUUGCAGUAUGUAUGAAACAUAUUCUCAAGCUUCUGCUAUAUCAGGGCUUUUGCUAGAUAUAUUCUCAGGCUUCUCAGCUGGGGCCAAAAUUAAGUUUAAUCUUAAUUGGUCAAGUUGCUUCUUUUUGAAGAAAGUGAGCAAGCUUCUCAUCUCUUCUCCUUCAUUUGUUAAUUGAUCUGUAAUUAGGCACAAGGCCUACGACCUCAUUUAUGUAUAGCUAGUUUUACAAGUACUGUUAAGUUACUUCAUUUUGAGGUUGCCAAUUAAUUAUCUCUAGUACUGUUUUGUUUUACCACCCUACUCCAUUGUACAAAUUAAUUAUCUAUAGUAUUGUUUUGUACAGGAUGUCAAGCCGUUAAUGGGAUUGCAAGUGUUGAACUCAUUUGGAGCUUAUUUCUGUAACUCUGUUGUAGUGUUGAACUGUUGAUGGUGAUUGGUGACAUACUGACAUGUCUAAACAAUCAAAUGAAAUGAAUUUGUGUAACUCUCUUGGUUUAUGUAACUCUGUAACUCUCUUGGUUUGAAACUUUGAAUUUGUGUACUUUGUAUGAUUGUAUAAUUGUAUCAGUAUGUAUUAGUAAUUUCCUUAUCUAGCUUUACAACAAGUAUUUACAGGUUUUUAAAAG
rnacentral:lncRNA from 1 species